rnacentral:rRNA from 1 species
CAGUCGCCACGGGAAAACGAAGGGGGCUAGCGUUGCUCGGAAUGACUGGGCGUAAAGGGCGCGUAGGCGGCGAUCAAAGUCAGGCGUGAAAUUCCUGGGCUCAACCUGGGACCUGCAUUUGUGACUGUAUAGCUAGAGUACGGUAGAGGGGGAUGGAAUUCCGCGUGUAGCAGUGAAAUGCGUAGAUAUGCGGAGGAACACCGACGGCGAAGGCAAUCCCCUGGACCUGUACUGACGCUCAUGCACGAAAGCGUGGGGAGCAAACAGGAUUAGAUACCCCCGUAGUCCCUGUCUCUUAUAC